rnacentral:rRNA from 1 species
ACGCUCGACACCUACGGGAGCAGCAGUGAGGAAUAUUGGUCAAUGGACGCAAGUCUGAACCAGCCAUGCCGCGUGCAGGAUGACGGCUCUAUGAGUUGUAAACUGCUUUUGUACGAGGGUAAACGCAGAUACGUGUAUCUGUCUGAAAGUAUCGUACGAAUAAGGAUCGGCUAACUCCGUGCCAGCAGCCGCGGUAAUCUGAGCGGGCUGGCAAGGC